rnacentral:rRNA from 1 species
GGGUUGUGAGGUUAAGCGACUAAGCGUACACGGUGGAUGCCCUGGCAGUCAGAGGCGAUGAAGGACGUGCUAAUCUGCGAUAAGCGUCGGUAAGGUGAUAUGAACCGUUAUAACCGGCGAUUUCCGAAUGGGGAAACCCAGUGUGUUUCGACACACUAUCAUUAACUGAAUCCAUAGGUUAAUGAGGCGAACCGGGGGAACUGAAACAUCUAAGUACCCCGAGGAAAAGAAAUCAACCGAGAUUCCCCCAGUAGCGGCGAGCGAACGGGGAGCAGCCCAGAGCCUGAAUCAGUAUGUGUGUUAGUGGAAGCGUCUGGAAAGGCGCGCGAUACAGGGUGACAGCCCCGUACACAAAAAUGCACAUGCUGUGAGCUCGAUGAGUAGGGCGGGACACGUGGUAUCCUGUCUGAAUAUGGGGGACCAUCCUCCAAGGCUAAAUACUCCUGACUGACCGAUAGUGAACCAGUACCGUGAGGGAAAGGCGAAAAGAACCCCGGCGAGGGGAGUGAAAAAGAACCUGAAACCGUGUACGUACAAGCAGUGGGAGCACGCUUAGGCGUGUGACUGCGUACCUUUUGUAUAAUGGGUCAGCGACUUAUAUUCUGUAGCAAGGUUAACCGAAUAGGGGAGCCGAAGGGAAACCGAGUCUUAACUGGGCGUUAAGUUGCAGGGUAUAGACCCGAAACCCGGUGAUCUAGCCAUGGGCAGGUUGAAGGUUGGGUAACACUAACUGGAGGACCGAACCGACUAAUGUUGAAAAAUUAGCGGAUGACUUGUGGCUGGGGGUGAAAGGCCAAUCAAACCGGGAGAUAGCUGGUUCUCCCCGAAAGCUAUUUAGGUAGCGCCUCGUGAAUUCAUCUCCGGGGGUAGAGCACUGUUUCGGCAAGGGGGUCAUCCCGACUUACCAACCCGAUGCAAACUGCGAAUACCGGAGAAUGUUAUCACGGGAGACACACGGCGGGUGCUAACGUCCGUCGUGAAGAGGGAAACAACCCAGACCGCCAGCUAAGGUCCCAAAGUCAUGGUUAAGUGGGAAACGAUGUGGGAAGGCCCAGACAGCCAGGAUGUUGGCUUAGAAGCAGCCAUCAUUUAAAGAAAGCGUAAUAGCUCACUGGUCGAGUCGGCCUGCGCGGAAGAUGUAACGGGGCUAAACCAUGCACCGAAGCUGCGGCAGCGACGCUUAUGCGUUGUUGGGUAGGGGAGCGUUCUGUAAGCCUGUGAAGGUGUACUGUGAGGUAUGCUGGAGGUAUCAGAAGUGCGAAUGCUGACAUAAGUAACGAUAAAGCGGGUGAAAAGCCCGCUCGCCGGAAGACCAAGGGUUCCUGUCCAACGUUAAUCGGGGCAGGGUGAGUCGACCCCUAAGGCGAGGCCGAAAGGCGUAGUCGAUGGGAAACAGGUUAAUAUUCCUGUACUUGGUGUUACUGCGAAGGGGGGACGGAGAAGGCUAUGUUGGCCGGGCGACGGUUGUCCCGGUUUAAGCGUGUAGGCUGGUUUUCCAGGCAAAUCCGGAAAAUCAAGGCUGAGGCGUGAUGACGAGGCACUACGGUGCUGAAGCAACAAAUGCCCUGCUUCCAGGAAAAGCCUCUAAGCAUCAGGUAACAUCAAAUCGUACCCCAAACCGACACAGGUGGUCAGGUAGAGAAUACCAAGGCGCUUGAGAGAACUCGGGUGAAGGAACUAGGCAAAAUGGUGCCGUAACUUCGGGAGAAGGCACGCUGAUAUGUAGGUGAAGCGACUUGCUCGUGGAGCUGAAAUCAGUCGAAGAUACCAGCUGGCUGCAACUGUUUAUUAAAAACACAGCACUGUGCAAACACGAAAGUGGACGUAUACGGUGUGACGCCUGCCCGGUGCCGGAAGGUUAAUUGAUGGGGUCAGCGCAAGCGAAGCUCUUGAUCGAAGCCCCGGUAAACGGCGGCCGUAACUAUAACGGUCCUAAGGUAGCGAAAUUCCUUGUCGGGUAAGUUCCGACCUGCACGAAUGGCGUAAUGAUGGCCAGGCUGUCUCCACCCGAGACUCAGUGAAAUUGAACUCGCUGUGAAGAUGCAGUGUACCCGCGGCAAGACGGAAAGACCCCGUGAACCUUUACUAUAGCUUGACACUGAACAUUGAGCCUUGAUGUGUAGGAUAGGUGGGAGGCUUUGAAGUGUGGACGCCAGUCUGCAUGGAGCCGACCUUGAAAUACCACCCUUUAAUGUUUGAUGUUCUAACGUGGACCCGUAAUCCGGGUUGCGGACAGUGUCUGGUGGGUAGUUUGACUGGGGCGGUCUCCUCCUAAAGAGUAACGGAGGAGCACGAAGGUUGGCUAAUCCUGGUCGGACAUCAGGAGGUUAGUGCAAUGGCAUAAGCCAGCUUGACUGCGAGCGUGACGGCGCGAGCAGGUGCGAAAGCAGGUCAUAGUGAUCCGGUGGUUCUGAAUGGAAGGGCCAUCGCUCAACGGAUAAAAGGUACUCCGGGGAUAACAGGCUGAUACCGCCCAAGAGUUCAUAUCGACGGCGGUGUUUGGCACCUCGAUGUCGGCUCAUCACAUCCUGGGGCUGAAGUAGGUCCCAAGGGUAUGGCUGUUCGCCAUUUAAAGUGGUACGCGAGCUGGGUUUAGAACGUCGUGAGACAGUUCGGUCCCUAUCUGCCGUGGGCGCUGGAGAACUGAGGGGGGCUGCUCCUAGUACGAGAGGACCGGAGUGGACGCAUCACUGGUGUUCGGGUUGUCAUGCCAAUGGCACUGCCCGGUAGCUAAAUGCGGAAGAGAUAAGUGCUGAAAGCAUCUAAGCACGAAACUUGCCCCGAGAUGAGUUCUCCCUGACUCCUUGAGAGUCCUGAAGGAACGUUGAAGACGACGACGUUGAUAGGCCGGGUGUGUAAGCGCAGCGAUGCGUUGAGCUAACCGGUACUAAUGAACCGUGAGGCUUAACCUUACAACGCCGAAGCUGUU